GAGUUUGAUCAUGGCUCAGAUUGAACGCUGGCGGCAUGCCUUACACAUGCAAGUCGAACGGCAGCACGGGAGCUUGCUCCUGGUGGCGAGUGGCGAACGGGUGAGUAAUAUAUCGGAACGUGCCCUAGAGUGGGGGAUAACUAGUCGAAAGAUUAGCUAAUACCGCAUACGAUCUAAGGAUGAAAGUGGGGGAUCGCAAGACCUCAUGCUCGUGGAGCGGCCGAUAUCUGAUUAGCUAGUUGGUGAGGUAAAGGCUCACCAAGGCGACGAUCAGUAGCUGGUCUGAGAGGACGACCAGCCACACUGGAACUGAGACACGGUCCAGACUCCUACGGGAGGCAGCAGUGGGGAAUUUUGGACAAUGGGCGCAAGCCUGAUCCAGCAAUGCCGCGUGAGUGAAGAAGGCCUUCGGGUUGUAAAGCUCUUUUGUCAGGGAAGAAACGGUAGAGGCUAAUAUCCUUUACUAAUGACGGUACCUGAAGAAUAAGCACCGGCUAACUACGUGCCAGCAGCCGCGGUAAUACGUAGGGUGCAAGCGUUAAUCGGAAUUACUGGGCGUAAAGCGUGCGCAGGCGGUUGUGCAAGACAGAUGUGAAAUCCCCGGGCUCAACCUGGGAAUUGCAUUUGUGACUGCACAGCUAGAGUGUGUCAGAGGGGGGUAGAAUUCCACGUGUAGCAGUGAAAUGCGUAGAUAUGUGGAGGAAUACCGAUGGCGAAGGCAGCCCCCUGGGAUAACACUGACGCUCAUGCACGAAAGCGUGGGGAGCAAACAGGAUUAGAUACCCUGGUAGUCCACGCCCUAAACGAUGUCUACUAGUUGUCGGGUCUUAAUUGACUUGGUAACGCAGCUAACGCGUGAAGUAGACCGCCUGGGGAGUACGGUCGCAAGAUUAAAACUCAAAGGAAUUGACGGGGACCCGCACAAGCGGUGGAUGAUGUGGAUUAAUUCGAUGCAACGCGAAAAACCUUACCUACCCUUGACAUGGUCGGAAUCCUGAAGAGAUUUAGGAGUGCUCGAAAGAGAACCGACACACAGGUGCUGCAUGGCUGUCGUCAGCUCGUGUCGUGAGAUGUUGGGUUAAGUCCCGCAACGAGCGCAACCCUUGUCAUUAGUUGCUACGAAAGGGCACUCUAAUGAGACUGCCGGUGACAAACCGGAGGAAGGUGGGGAUGACGUCAAGUCCUCAUGGCCCUUAUGGGUAGGGCUUCACACGUCAUACAAUGGUACAUACAGAGGGCCGCCAACCCGCGAGGGGGAGCUAAUCCCAGAAAGUGUAUCGUAGUCCGGAUUGUAGUCUGCAACUCGACUACAUGAAGUUGGAAUCGCUAGUAAUCGCGGAUCAGCAUGUCGCGGUGAAUACGUUCCCGGGUCUUGUACACACCGCCCGUCACACCAUGGGAGCGGGUUCUGCCAGAAGUAGUUAGCCUAACCGUAAGGAGGGCGAUUACCACGGCAGGGUUCGUGACUGGGGUGAAGUCGUAACAAGGUAACCGU
rnacentral:rRNA from 1 species